rnacentral:pre_miRNA from 1 species
UUAAGAUGAUGAUGACGAUGAUGAUGACGAUGAUGAAGAUGAAGAUGAUGAUGACGAUGAUUGCAAUGAUGAUGAUGAUGAUGAUGAAAAUUAACAGCCAAAAUCAUCAUCAUCGUCAUCAUCGUCAUCAACAUCGUCAUCAUCG